UUAAGCGACUAAGCGUACACGGUGGAUGCCCUGGCAGUCAGAGGCGAUGAAGGACGUGCUAAUCUGCGAUAAGCGUCGGUAAGGUGAUAUGAACCGUUAUAACCGGCGAUUUCCGAAUGGGGAAACCCAGUGUGUUUCGACACACUAUCAUUAACUGAAUCCAUAGGUUAAUGAGGCGAACCGGGGGAACUGAAACAUCUAAGUACCCCGAGGAAAAGAAAUCAACCGAGAUUCCCCCAGUAGCGGCGAGCGAACGGGGAGCAGCCCAGAGCCUGAAUCAGUAUGUGUGUUAGUGGAAGCGUCUGGAAAGGCGCGCGAUACAGGGUGACAGCCCCGUACACAAAAAUGCACAUAUUGUGAGCUCGAUGAGUAGGGCGGGACACGUGGUAUCCUGUCUGAAUAUGGGGGGACCAUCCUCCAAGGCUAAAUACUCCUGACUGACCGAUAGUGAACCAGUACCGUGAGGGAAAGGCGAAAAGAACCCCGGCGAGGGGAGUGAAAAAGAACCUGAAACCGUGUACGUACAAGCAGUGGGAGCACGCUUAGGCGUGUGACUGCGUACCUUUUGUAUAAUGGGUCAGCGACUUAUAUUCUGUAGCAAGGUUAACCGAAUAGGGGAGCCGAAGGGAAACCGAGUCUUAACUGGGCGUUAAGUUGCAGGGUAUAGACCCGAAACCCGGUGAUCUAGCCAUGGGCAGGUUGAAGGUUGGGUAACACUAACUGGAGGACCGAACCGACUAAUGUUGAAAAAUUAGCGGAUGACUUGUGGCUGGGGGUGAAAGGCCAAUCAAACCGGGAGAUAGCUGGUUCUCCCCGAAAGCUAUUUAGGUAGCGCCUCGUGAAUUCAUCUCCGGGGGUAGAGCACUGUUUCGGCAAGGGGGUCAUCCCGACUUACCAACCCGAUGCAAACUGCGAAUACCGGAGAAUGUUAUCACGGGAGACACACGGCGGGUGCUAACGUCCGUCGUGAAGAGGGAAACAACCCAGACCGCCAGCUAAGGUCCCAAAGUCAUGGUUAAGUGGGAAACGAUGUGGGAAGGCCCAGACAGCCAGGAUGUUGGCUUAGAAGCAGCCAUCAUUUAAAGAAAGCGUAAUAGCUCACUGGUCGAGUCGGCCUGCGCGGAAGAUGUAACGGGGCUAAACCAUGCACCGAAGCUGCGGCAGCGACACUAUGUGUUGUUGGGUAGGGGAGCGUUCUGUAAGCCUGUGAAGGUGUGCUGUGAGGCAUGCUGGAGGUAUCAGAAGUGCGAAUGCUGACAUAAGUAACGAUAAAGCGGGUGAAAAGCCCGCUCGCCGGAAGACCAAGGGUUCCUGUCCAACGUUAAUCGGGGCAGGGUGAGUCGACCCCUAAGGCGAGGCCGAAAGGCGUAGUCGAUGGGAAACAGGUUAAUAUUCCUGUACUUGGUGUUACUGCGAAGGGGGGACGGAGAAGGCUAUGUUGGCCGGGCGACGGUUGUCCCGGUUUAAGCGUGUAGGCUGGUUUUCCAGGCAAAUCCGGAAAAUCAAGGCUGAGGCGUGAUGACGAGGCACUACGGUGCUGAAGCAACAAAUGCCCUGCUUCCAGGAAAAGCCUCUAAGCAUCAGGUAACAUCAAAUCGUACCCCAAACCGACACAGGUGGUCAGGUAGAGAAUACCAAGGCGCUUGAGAGAACUCGGGUGAAGGAACUAGGCAAAAUGGUGCCGUAACUUCGGGAGAAGGCACGCUGAUAUGUAGGUGAAGCGACUUGCUCGUGGAGCUGAAAUCAGUCGAAGAUACCAGCUGGCUGCAACUGUUUAUUAAAAACACAGCACUGUGCAAACACGAAAGUGGACGUAUACGGUGUGACGCCUGCCCGGUGCCGGAAGGUUAAUUGAUGGGGUCAGCGCAAGCGAAGCUCUUGAUCGAAGCCCCGGUAAACGGCGGCCGUAACUAUAACGGUCCUAAGGUAGCGAAAUUCCUUGUCGGGUAAGUUCCGACCUGCACGAAUGGCGUAAUGAUGGCCAGGCUGUCUCCACCCGAGACUCAGUGAAAUUGAACUCGCUGUGAAGAUGCAGUGUACCCGCGGCAAGACGGAAAGACCCCGUGAACCUUUACUAUAGCUUGACACUGAACAUUGAGCCUUGAUGUGUAGGAUAGGUGGGAGGCUUGGAAGUGUGGACGCCAGUCUGCAUGGAGCCGACCUUGAAAUACCACCCUUUAAUGUUUGAUGUUCUAACGUUGACCCGUAAUCCGGGUUGCGGACAGUGUCUGGUGGGUAGUUUGACUGGGGCGGUCUCCUCCUAAAGAGUAACGGAGGAGCACGAAGGUUGGCUAAUCCUGGUCGGACAUCAGGAGGUUAGUGCAAUGGCAUAAGCCAGCUUGACUGCGAGCGUGACGGCGCGAGCAGGUGCGAAAGCAGGUCAUAGUGAUCCGGUGGUUCUGAAUGGAAGGGCCAUCGCUCAACGGAUAAAAGGUACUCCGGGGAUAACAGGCUGAUACCGCCCAAGAGUUCAUAUCGACGGCGGUGUUUGGCACCUCGAUGUCGGCUCAUCACAUCCUGGGGCUGAAGUAGGUCCCAAGGGUAUGGCUGUUCGCCAUUUAAAGUGGUACGCGAGCUGGGUUUAGAACGUCGUGAGACAGUUCGGUCCCUAUCUGCCGUGGGCGCUGGAGAACUGAGGGGGGCUGCUCCUAGUACGAGAGGACCGGAGUGGACGCAUCACUGGUGUUCGGGUUGUCAUGCCAAUGGCACUGCCCGGUAGCUAAAUGCGGAAGAGAUAAGUGCUGAAAGCAUCUAAGCACGAAACUUGCCCCGAGAUGAGUUCUCCCUGACCCUUUAAGGGUCCUGAAGGAACGUUGAAGACGACGACGUUGAUAGGCCGGGUGUGUAAGCGCAGCGAUGCGUUGAGCUAACCGGUACUAAUGAACCGUGAGGCUUAACCUU
rnacentral:rRNA from 1 species